CCAUUGGUGGUUCAGUGGUAGAAUUCUUGCCUGCCACGCUGGAGACCCAGGUUUGAUUCCUGGCCAGUGUA
rnacentral:tRNA from 1 species